rnacentral:rRNA from 1 species
UGCCAGACUCCUACGGGAGGCAGCAGUGGGGAAUAUUGCACAAUGGGGGAAACCCUGAUGCAGCGACGCCGCGUGAGUGAGGAAGUAUUUCGGUAUGUAAAGCUCUAUCAGCAGGGAAGAAAAUGACGGUACCUGAGUAAGAAGCCCCGGCUAACUACGUGCCAGCAGCCGCGGUAAUACGUAGGGGGCAAGCGUUAUCCGGAUUUACUGGGUGUAAAGGGAGCGUAGACGGCAAUGCAAGCCAGAUGUGAAAGCCCGGGGCUCAACCCCGGGACUGCAUUUGGAACUGUGUAGCUGGAGUGUCGGAGAGGCAGGCGGAAUUCCUAGUGUAGCGGUGAAAUGCGUAGAUAUUAGGAGGAACACCAGUGGCGAAGGCGGCCUGCUGGACGAUGACUGACGUUGAGGCUCGAAAGCGUGGGGAGCAAACAGGAUUAGAUACCCCGGUA